AUGGGGCGGCUCUUCCUGAUGCACCUCGAGGGGAACGCCUACAGCUGCAAGUUCUGCCGCACCCACCUCGGCCUCGCCGCCGACAUCAUCUCCAAGAACUUCCAUUCCAAGCACGGCAAGGCGUAUCUCUUCAACAGGGUUGUCAAUGUUACAUCUGGUAUAAACGAGGAUCGCAUGAUGAUGACAGGGCUGCAUACUGUUUCCGAUAUCUUCUGUGUUGGUUGUGGAUCCAUUGUUGGAUGGAAAUAUGAGGCUGCACAUGAGAAGAGCCAGAGGUACAAGGAAGGAAAGUUUAUUCUGGAGAGGUUUAAGGUGUCGGGCCCUGAUGGUAGCCACUACUGGGGGGUGACACAUGAUGCUCAUCAUGGGGGUGGAAGCGACACCGACGACUUAUGA
rnacentral:rRNA from 1 species